CAGUUGCACAGGGAAUUCCGUAAGCCUCUUAUUGUGAUGGCUCCUAAAAACCUGCUACGGCACAAGGAGUGCAAAUCAAAUUUAUCCGAAUUUGAUGAUGUGCAAGGCCACCCAGGUUUUGACAAGCAGGGGACCAGAUUUAAGCGCCUCAUCAAGGACCAGAAUGACCACUCUGAUCUAGAGGAGGGUAUUAGACGUCUAGUUCUUUGCUCUGGGAAGGUACUAUAUUCAAGGAACAAAUUAUGACUUAUAUAAUUUUAUCUUAGCCAAGAAACAAAUAGUUAAUUCUAUCGCGUGCGCUGUAUUUCGGGUUUCCCUUGCUUGCAUGCAGCUUUAUUAUGAGCUUGACGAAGAGCGAAGAAAUGUUGAAGCAAAGGAUGUAGCAAUUUGUAGAGUGGAACAGCUUUGCCCCUUCCCAUAUGACCUUAUCCAGCGAGAGCUGAAGCGAUAUCCAAGUAUGUACCUCGAACUUUCCAUUCGAAAAGAUCACAUUGUACUAGCUGUGAAAUCAAAUCAGGCGAUAAAUUUUGCUGACACCAUGAGGUUGACAUUUCCUAAUUUGAUUCCUUCAGAUGCUGAGAUAGUUUGGUGCCAGGAAGAGCCAAUGAACAUGGGUGCAUACAGUUAUAUUGCACCCCGCCUUUGCGCCGCCAUGAAGUCUCUCAGCAGAGGAACGAUCGACGACAUCAAAUAUGUUGGCCGUGCUCCAUCAGCUUCCACAGCCACUGGUUUCCCUCAGGUUCAUGAGAAGGAACAAAGCGAGAUUUUGCACAACGCUGUGCAGCCGGAGCCAAUUGAGUAUCACAUAAUCUGAAGCCCGUGCUUAUCUAUCCAAAACCAAACAAUGACGUGUUUAUAGAUCCUUACAUAAUACUAUAUCUGAAGUUUCCUAUCCUGAUUUUCUGUUGAUCCAAAUGGUGAUUUUUCACCAUGGUAUUCCAAGCAAGCCGAACGGCGUCUCAAACAGUCAGAUUUUUUUUUUUUUUUACUUCUCUCAUGUGAUGAUGCACAAGUGUUUUUGAGAUUAAUGUCAAGAUGCUUUUUCAUUAAAUAACACAAGAUGCUUUAUCUUCACAGUAUUUUACCUUCCUGUAUUAAAUCUUUGCUUGUCUUGAUGUGGAUAUAGAUAAUCAGGUAUGAGCUUCUGGUCAAGAAAAGGUGUUUUAUUUGCCUAGUUUCACUGAUAUCGUAAAGUAUCUCUUCAAAAUUCAAACAUUGUGAAUUUACCUUCCUGCAAUAAACCCUGCUCGAAUUUACAUCAUUACUCAGUGUUUCUCCACAAUUUUUAUAAUGCACUAACACUUAGGGGUGGCAAUGAGUGGUGUCGUGUUGAGGUUGCACAAGAGUGAUGGGUUGGUGUUACCAUCCCUAAUAAACGAGACGACUCAUUGCCAAAACCCACUUGUUUAUUAAUUGUGUCUUAACAGAUUGACUAGAAUUUGACCCGAAAGUUUUAUUGUGCGGAUUGCGAAUAGUUUAUUGGGUUGAGUUGGAAAUUUCCACCCCUAUUUAUAAGUUAUUAUACACCCAAUAAACUGACGCAACAACCCGAAACCCAGUUGCUCUUGAAUUUGGGUGAGAUAUGAGCAGAUUUAGCGAAAAGUGCACAUUGGCAAGAUGAUUUUUCUUGCCGCAGAAGGGAUCCUAUAUGAAAUAUGCCUCUUUUUAUGUGAGUGAUUUAGAGAGGGCUAAAGAACACCACAGAUAAAAUAUGCUUCACAAAGUUUUCUGAUUUAAACAUACCUUUAUCAGAAAAUAAGAACCAACCAUUCAUAGAAAAAGAUGUUGCAAAGUAUCGAAUGGUGCAGCUUCUUUGUGUGAGCAACAAGGUUCUCCAAUUUGACUUUUUUUUUUCUUGGGAGAUUCACUAUUAUAACCAAUAUAUGUAUUCAAAUUAUUAAAAAAUUAUACAUGAAUUAGACUUUAGAAACACACCUGAAGCUCAUUUACAGUAUAACAAAGAAGUUUCGAAAUUCCUAUAAAUUACAAAACUGUCAUUGAUUUAUUAAAACAAACUCAACCCAAAACCUCAUUAAAAAAAAUCCAAAAUUUUAUAGGUCAUCAAAGUAAUUUAAUAAUCAAAAUUAAAUUUAAUAGGGCCAGUUGUCAUUUUUUGAAUUUGUUUAUAAAAAUUAAAUGACGUAGAAUUUAUCUAUGUCAUUAAUGUUAAAAAUAGAUAUAUAACUAAAUAUCUCUUUUUUCUUUAUAAAAGCCUCAAGUUUUGUCCCCCCGUGAUGAGUUAAAUAAAACAGACUGAGAUGAGAAGUUCCGACUGAAAAAAAUAAUAAUAAAAAGGAAACAAAGUGUUGAAGUAGUUUGAAAAAGAAGCAAGCCAGAUGAAGAAGGAAAAGAUCUUGGGAUUGAUUUGGGCAUACAAUUUCCAUAAAUCAACAUGAUGUUUGGGCUUGGGCAUGGAUUUGGGCCUACUUUACCCGACCCAUCCAUAUUAAAAUAUUAAAAUAAUAAGGAAGUAAGAUUUUUCGGUUCAGACAAUUAACCAAAAAGGAAUAAAAUGUUGCACUCAGAAAGCUCACAAAAGUCACCGUCGCUACCCAGCGAUUAGGGUUCCCUAUUCUUUUCUCCCUUCUAUAUCCCUCGUUUUCUCUACCUCGGUCACUCUCAGGUAUUCCCUAAUCUCCGUCGAUUUCAAGCCUUUAUCUUUCGGGUUUUUUUAUUUUUUUAUAUCUCGUUUCCUGUUGACUGAAACGAAACUUUUGUUUCUCAAAGCAUUAGGUUCACGGAACAGUAUCGUUUCUCUGUGGAUCAAAAUUGUCAGAAUAGUUCUCAUGCAUCAGUUUUGUUAAAUUUUUUUUGUUUCAUUUUGAAAAUAAUCUCUGUGAUCUCAUUCAAGUUUGAUGCACUCAUUUUCCAGUGUGUAUGUAUGAAUGUAUUAAAAGAUAUGAUAAUUGGUAUGCUUAUUUGAUUUGUUUUUGGAUUGGUCUGAACAGGGUUUUGAUUGAUGUUCUGAAGAUUUGUGACGUAGAAUUUUCUGUUGAAUUGGAUAAAAUUGUGUGAUAGAUUGGGUUGCUAGCUAUGACUUGGUUUAGAGCAGGGUCUAGCGUGGCAAAACUUGCCAUUAGGAGAACUCUAUCACACAGUGGAUCAUAUGCAGGUAGGAGGCGGGUCCUUCCGUCGCAAAAUCGAGACUUUCACACCACUUUAUGUAAAUCAAAGGCGCAAUCUGCCCCAGUUCCACGCCCUGUACCUCUCUCUAGGCUAACUGAUAGUUUCCUGGAUGGAACCAGCAGUGUUUAUUUGGAGGGGCUUCAGAGGGCUUGGGAAGCCGACCCCAAUAGCGUUGAUGAGUCAUGGGACAAUUUCUUUAGGAAUUUUGUUGGUCAGGCCUCUACCUCGCCAGGAAUUUCAGGCCAAACCAUUCAAGAGAGUAUGCGCUUGUUGUUGCUUGUGAGGGCAUACCAGGUUAAUGGUCACAUGAAAGCUAAAUUGGACCCCUUGGGUCUGGAAGAGAGAGAAAUCCCUGAUGAUUUGGACCCUGCUCUAUAUGGGUUUACUGAGGCUGAUCUCGAUAGGGAGUUCUUUUUAGGGGUCUGGAGGAUGGCUGGGUUUUUGUCUGAGAACCGUCCUGUCCAGACCCUUAGGUCCAUACUGACCCGGCUUGAGCAGGCUUACUGUGGAACUAUUGGGUAUGAGUAUAUGCACAUUGCCGAUCGUAAUAGAUGUAACUGGUUGAGAGACAAGAUUGAGACUCCGACACCAAUGCAAUACAAUAGGCAGCGUCGUGAGGUUAUUCUUGAUAGGCUUAUUUGGAGUACACAAUUUGAGAACUUCUUGGCCACUAAGUGGACAGCAGCAAAGAGGUUUGGGCUUGAAGGUGGAGAAACUCUGAUUCCAGGCAUGAAAGAGAUGUUUGAUAGGGCAGCAGAUCUUGGGGUUGAGAGCAUAGUUAUUGGAAUGUCUCACAGAGGAAGACUGAAUGUAUUGGGUAAUGUGGUUCGGAAGCCUUUGCGUCAGAUAUUUAGUGAAUUCAGUGGUGGUACAAAGCCUGUGGAUGAAGUUGGACUAUACACAGGGACUGGUGAUGUCAAGUAUCACUUGGGAACCUCUUAUGAUCGACCCACUAGAGGUGGGAACAGAAUUCAUUUAUCUUUGCUUGCUAAUCCAAGUCACUUGGAAGCUGUAGACCCUGUUGUUGUUGGGAAGACUAGAGCAAAGCAAUAUUAUUCAAGUGAUCCGGACAGGACCAAGAAUGUGGGUAUCUUGAUUCAUGGAGAUGGUAGCUUUGCUGGGCAAGGUGUGGUCUACGAGACUCUGCAUCUAAGUGCUCUUCCUAACUACACCACUGGUGGGACUAUACACAUUGUGGUGAACAACCAAGUUGCCUUCACAACUGAUCCAAUGUCUGGAAGAUCUUCACAGUAUUGUACUGAUGUUGCCAAAGCAUUGAAUGCCCCUAUUUUCCAUGUAAAUGCUGAUGACAUGGAGGCAGUCGUUCAUGUCUGUGAGCUUGCAGCUGAAUGGCGCCAGACUUUCCAUUCUGAUGUUGUUGUUGAUUUGGUGUGCUAUCGUCGAUUUGGGCAUAAUGAGAUUGAUGAGCCAUCUUUCACGCAGCCCAAAAUGUACAAGGUUAGACCAUCUUUCCUAGUCAUUAAAAAUCAAGAAAUUUUUUUACUUUUCUCAUGAUAAAAUGUCAAAAUCUCACUUUAUUGGGGGUUUAUAGGUUAUCCGGAAUCAUCCCUCAGCUCUAACAAUCUACCAGAACAAACUUCUAGAAUCUGGACAAGUGACCAAAGAAGACAUUGAAAGGAUACAGAACAAGGUUAAUUCAAUUCUCAAUGAAGAAUUCUUGGCUAGCAAGGAUUAUGUUCCUCAAAGAAGGGACUGGCUUUCAUCUCAUUGGUCUGGAUUUAAGUCACCUGAACAGAUUUCCCGUAUCCGGAAUACUGGGUAUAGCACUGUUUUUCUAUCAGUUGCACCUCUUCUUCCUAAUAUUCGAUUUGACUUAAUUGUAUUUUAAUGAAUUUAUAUCCUGUACAGGGUAAAACCAGAGAUUUUGAAGAGUGUUGGCAAAGCAGUCACAUCCCUCCCAGAAACUUUUAAGCCUCACAGAGCAGUAAAGAAGAAUUAUGAACAACGCGCACAAAUGAUUGAGACCGGUGAAGGAAUUGAUUGGGCAGUUGCUGAAGCACUUGCAUUUGCUACACUACUAGUAGAAGGUAACCAUGUUCGAUUGAGCGGUCAGGAUGUUGAAAGAGGUACAUUUAGUCAUCGGCACUCUGUAGUUCACGACCAGGAAACUGGGGAGAGGUAUUGCCCUCUUGACCACAUUAUGGCUAACCAAGAUGAGGAAAUGUUUACAGUUAGCAACAGGUAAUGAGUGAUUACUUUUUAUAGCGUUCCCUUUUGUAAGGUUGUAGGACUGCCAGACACCACAUUAUGACUUAUUAGAUAUUGAAUAGUACUUGGCUAAAUUGGUGUUUUCGUUUUUAAUUUGCCUUGUACAGAAGCUAAUUGUGUUUGUAUGUACAGCUCACUGUCUGAGUUUGGUGUUCUGGGAUUUGAAUUGGGUUACUCGAUGGAGAGUCCGAAUGCAUUGGUAAUCUGGGAAGCUCAAUUUGGUGAUUUUGCCAAUGGAGCUCAAGUUAUAUUUGAUCAGUUUUUGAGUAGUGGGGAGUCCAAAUGGCUUCGUCAAACUGGGCUUGUUGUGCUGCUUCCUCAUGGUUAUGAUGGCCAGGGCCCUGAACAUUCUAGUGCACGACUGGAGCGAUUUCUUCAGGUAUUCUUUUGUCAAAUAUGGUUAAUCCCUCCCCCCCCCCCUCUUCCCUUUUUCCACUUUAGACAACAGCUGUCUCUGGCAUGGAUCCCCAUCUUAACUAAUUUUAUUACAGAUGAGUGAUGACAAUCCUUUUGUCAUACCUGAGAUGGAUCCUACACUUCGGAAGCAAAUUCAGGAAUGCAAUUGGCAGGUUGUUAAUGUGACAACUCCUGCCAACUACUUCCAUGUUCUGCGUCGUCAGGUGACUUAAAAGCUAUUUCAUUUAUCAGCAUUUUCCAGUAUCUUGAAAAAUUUAUGCAGGUUCUAAUGUUCUUGUUUCAUUUCUCAGUUGCACAGGGAAUUCCGUAAGCCCCUUAUUGUGAUGGCUCCUAAAAACCUGCUAAGGCACAAGGAGUGCAAAUCAAAUUUAUCUGAAUUUGAUGAUGUGCAAGGCCACCCAGGUUUUGACAAGCAGGGGACCAGAUUUAAGCGCCUCAUCAAGGACCAGAAUGACCACUCUAAUCUGGAGGAGGGUAUUAGACGGCU
rnacentral:lncRNA from 1 species